GACGAACGCUGGCGGCGUGCUUAACACAUGCAAGUCGAACGGAAAGGCCCUGCUUUUGUGGGGUGCUCGAGUGGCGAACGGGUGAGUAACACGUGAGUAACCUGCCCUUGACUUUGGGAUAACUUCAGGAAACUGGGGCUAAUACCGGAUAGGAGCUCCUGCUGCAUGGUGGGGGUUGGAAAGUUUCGGCGGUUGGGGAUGGACUCGCGGCUUAUCAGCUUGUUGGUGGGGUAGUGGCUUACCAAGGCUUUGACGGGUAGCCGGCCUGAGAGGGUGACCGGCCACAUUAGGAGUGAGACACGGACCAAGAUCCUACGGGCGGCAGCAGUGGGGAGUAUUGCGCAAUGGGCGAAAGCCUGAUGCAGGGGAGACGCGGGGGCGAAGAAGUAUUUAGGUAUGUAAAGCUCUAUCAGCAGGGAAGAUAAUGACGGUACCUGACUAAGAGGCACGGGCUAAAUACGUG
rnacentral:rRNA from 1 species